rnacentral:rRNA from 1 species
GUUGUAAGGGAAGAACACGUAUGAGAGUAACUGCUCGUACCUUGACGGUACCUUAUUAGAAAGCCACGGCUAACUACGUGCCAGCAGCCGCGGUAAUACGUAGGUGGCAAGCGUUGUCCGGAAUUAUUGGGCGUAAAGCGCGC